AUAAUAUAUUACCGCACAUAUACGGUAACUAAAUUUGGCCGUGAUAUAUCGUUUCAGUCGUCCUUUUUCUGGUUGCGAUCUGAUUGUUGCUCGUCCACAC